AUUGAACGCUGGCGGCAGGCCUAACACAUGCAAGUCGAGCGGAUGACGGGAGCUUGCUCCUUGAUUCAGCGGCGGACGGGUGAGUAAUGCCUAGGAAUCUGCCUGGUAGUGGGGGACAACGUUUCGAAAGGAACGCUAAUACCGCAUACGUCCUACGGGAGAAAGCAGGGGACCUUCGGGCCUUGCGCUAUCAGAUGAGCCUAGGUCGGAUUAGCUAGCAGGUGAGGUAAUGGCUCACCUAGGCGACGAUCCGUAACUGGUCUGAGAGGAUGAUCAGUCACACUUGAACUGAGACACGGUCCAGACUCCUGCGGGAGGCAGCAGUGGGGAAUAUUGGACAAUGGGCGAAAGCCUGAUCCAGCCACGCCGCGUGUGUGAAGAAGGUCUUCGGAUUGUAAAGCACUUUAAGUUGGGAGGAAGGGCAGUAAGCUAAUACCUUGCUGUUUUGACGUUACCGACAGAAUAAGCACCGGCUAACUCUGUGCCAGCCGCCGCGGUAACAC
rnacentral:rRNA from 1 species